rnacentral:rRNA from 1 species
GACGAACCGUGCGAACGUUGUUCGGAAUCACUGGGCUUAAAGGGCGCGUAGGCGGCUUGCCAAGUCAGGGGUGAAAUCUUUCGGCUCAACCGGAAAAGUGCCCUUGAUACUGGCGAGCUCGAGUGAGGUAGGGGUGUGUGGAACUGAUGGUGGAGCGGUGAAAUGCGUUGAUAUCAUCAGGAACGCCGGUGGCGAAAGCGACGCACUGGACCUCUUCUGACGCUGAGGCGCGAAAGCUAGGGGAGCAAACGGG